GGCUCCCAACAAAAAGUUGCCCUGGGCCUUCCACUAGACUUCACCAACCUGGGCAAGUCAGAAGCUAUAAGAAAGUCUGCCUGGGAACUCUGAUUCCAGAGCUGAUCUGGUACCAUUAUGAUGAUGCAGACAUGUGAGACUUGCAGAGAGGGAAGAAAGUAGUUCAAAUGAGCCGACCAGGAGGGGGCAAUUACUGAACUGUAAAAAAAUAAAAGUAACAACAACAACAACAACAAAAAGCCUUUGCAGUAUUUAACUUAUAAAAUAAUGAUUGGAGCUGUGAAUCUGUAAAGAGCUAUUCAAGGUCUCUAUCUAGAACAUUCAGGACAAGGAAAGACUAUGGUUCUAGUGUCAUUGCUGUUGCUGUGAUAAAAUGUCCUGACCAAUACAACUUAGAGAAGAAAGAUCACUGCAGGAGAGCCAGUCACAUGGCAUCCAGAGUCAAAGGAAGAAAGAAAUGAGUGCAUUUGUGCCACCCUCCCUCUACACCUCCCCCUUCCUCUCUCCUUUCUGCUGCUGCUUCUGCUGCUGCUCAUGCUCAGCUGGCCUUUUACAUUUUUCCACACUAUGAAAUGGUAACACCUACAUGUAGUAAGAAUUUGGUUUCAUAAAAAACCCAGUUAUGUUAUGUGAUUAUGUUUUUGUUUUAAUCCCAUGGGUGUAGGUUUAGAGUUCUCAAGUGCUUUGAUCCCCUGCCACUUCUACCCUACCAUCUAAAGGUUGGGAAGAAAGAUGGUAAAUAGGACAAGGGGAUAUGGACCUGUUUAGAAGUAGUUCUUUGGGGUAAUUCCAAUCUCUGUUUGUUAGGAUACCAACAAUGCAGUUCAAAAGUGCCACCAAACAUGAAUCAGCAAUGAAUGACAGCAGAAACUGCCAGGCCUCUGACAAAUUGUCAUGAGUCAGCAAGAGUGACCAGGACCAGCUGGAAUGUCAGGAGUUCUCUGCUGUGCCUCUCUCAACAAAGUGAAGAUCAGCGAAGACACAAGACCAACGAAGCUUUGCAAGGAUAGUUAUGACAAGAAGCUGAAGCAAGAAGAGGUGAAUGGAGACUGUGCAUGCCUAUAAAAAGGAGACAUGGGGUUUUCCCAGCUGCUUCUUACUAUCUGGGUUACAGAUGUGUCCUGAUCAGUGAAUUCCUGGAUUACAGAAAGGAUGUGUUGAGCUUCUCCGUACAUUCCUGAAUCCCACGGACUUUGCUUGGGUCCCGUAGACUCUUAAAGACUGCAUCAACCAUGGGACUAUGUGUAGCUCCUAAACAGGAAUCAGAUUUGUCAGUAGAGAUAUGACAAUUACUGACAGAGCAGGUUCUGAAGUGCCUGUCUGAUGUAGAGUAUUGCUGAGAUAGUGAAAAACCACUACUGAAAAAAUGCUGUUCAAUUUUUUAUCAAAAUCUUGGUGUUACCAUGUUUCAUGAUCAUGUUUUUCUAGAAUUCUAAUUUAUAAUUAUAACCCCAAGAGUGAUAUACCAUUAUGUAUUUUAACACUAGCAAUAAAGUACUAUUUAGGUUUUUUGUUUUAAAAGGAAGUAGCAACAGAGAUGAUGAAAUGAACCAGUAAUAAAACUUAAAAUAAAUUAGUUGUGGAUUUACCAGUUGUACUGGCUGGUUUUGUGUGUCAACUUGACAAAUGCUAGAGUUAUCACAGAGGAAGGAGCUUCAGUUGGGGAAGUGCCUCCAUGAGAUCCAGCUGUGGGGUAUUUUCCCAAUUAGUGAUCAAGGAGGAAAGGCACCUUGUGGGUGGGACCAUCUCUGGACUGGUAGUUUUGGUUCUAUAAGAGAGCAGGCUGAGCAAGCCAGGCGAAGCAAGCCAGUAAAGAACAUCUCUCCAUGGCCUCUGCAUCAGCUCCUGCUUCCUGACUUGCUUAAGUUCUAGUCCUACUUCCUUAGUGAUGAACAGCAGUAUGGAAGUGUAAACUGAAUAAACCCUUUCCUCCUCAA